GUGGGUUUGGCCGAGUGGUCUAAGGCGCUACAUUUAGGAAGCAUUGAAUCCUGUAGUAUCUUCGGAUGCGCGAGUUCGAAUCUCGUGACCCACA
rfam:Pichia pastoris GS115 chromosome 4, complete sequence